rnacentral:rRNA from 1 species
CCGUCAAUUCAUUUGAGUUUUAGUCUUGCGACCGUACUUCCCAGGCGGAGUACUUAAUGCGUUAGCUGCGGCACUGCAGGGGUCAAUACCCGCAACACCUAGUACUCAUCGUUUACGGCGUGGACUACCAGGGUAUCUAAUCCUGUUUGCUCCCCACGCUUUCGCGUCUCAGCGUCAAUAUCGGUCCAGGUAGCCGCCUUCGCCACCGGUGUUCCUCCUAAUAUCUACGGAUUUCACUCCUACACUAGGAAUUCCACUACCCUCUCCCGUAUUCAAGUCUGACAGUUUCCAAUGCACUUCCCAGGUUGAGCCCGGGGCUUUCACAUCAGACUUACCAAACCGCCUACACGCGCUUUACGCCCAAUAAUUCCGAACAACGCUCGCACCCUCCGUAUUACCGCGGCUGCUGGCACGGAGUUAGCCGGUGCUUCCUUUGAGGGUACCGUCAAGCAAAGAUGAUAUUAGCACCCCUGCAUUUCUUCCCCUCUGACAGAGCUUUACGACCCGAAGGCCUUCAUCACUCACGCGGCGUUGCUGCGUCAGGGUUCCCCCAUUGCGC